UUCGCAAUGCCCGAAAGGGUGAACGAGCGACGCCGCGUGCGGGAUGAAGGGUUUCGGCUUGUAAACCGCUUUUCUUUGGGAAGAAGGCCUGUCUCGUGAAGAUGGGCUCGACGGUACCAGAGGAAUAAGCCUCGGCUAACUCCGUGCCAGCAGCCGCGGUAAGACGAACCGUGCGAACGUUAUUCGGAAUCACUGGGCUUAAAGCGCGUGUAGGCGGGCCGGCACGUCGGCCGCUGAAAGCCCCCGGCUCAACCGGGGAAGGGGCGCCGAUACGACCGGCCUGGAGGGGGGUAGGGGGCGUCGGAACUGCCGGUGGAGCGGUGAAAUGCGUUGAGAUCGGAAGGAACGCCCGUGGCGAAAGCGAGGUCCUGGACGUCUGCUGACGCUGAGACGCGAAAGCUAGGGGAGCAAACGGGAUUAGAUACCCCGGUAGUCCUAGCCGUAAACGAUGGGCACUAAGUAGAGGGGUUUU
rnacentral:rRNA from 1 species